rnacentral:rRNA from 1 species
UAUGACCACAUCAUGUUGAAAUACUGGUUUCUGUAUGAUCACUGAAGUUAAGCAAUGUCGAGCCUGGUCAGUACCUAGAUGGGUGACAGCUUGGGAAUACCAAGUUCUGUA